AGUUAUUGGAAAUACAGAACUCUCAGAUUUGCAUUUAACAAAUGGGAUUUGCAUCGUGCGAACAGAACACAUCAGUUCCGCCUCUAUGAUUCAGUCUCAAGAGGGAUCCGAAGAGGAACGCGCCGUCCCCCUCUAGUUCGAAGAGCGUCAGCAAGCAGGAUGAUCCAUUGGACACUUCCCCUAAUUGUACUCUUUCUGCCAGUGGUGGCUAAAGAUCUGACUAUUAAUUUUAAUAAGAACACCAGUGAGAUAUCUUUGAAGGUAUUCCAUGACAUCGCCAUCAUUGACAGUCCGAAAG